rnacentral:hammerhead_ribozyme from 1 species
AUGUACCCGAAGAGACCCAGAACGAUGGGUCGAAACACGUGUCGUAAU